GGCAACUACCGGUUUCAGCAGCUUGGUGAAGCACCACGGGGCUGAAGACAGGCCGAAAGGGAGGCAGCGGAAACGCCACAUCGUCUGUUCCCAUUGGAAUUGCAGUAAUUGUUGACAGUCCUCGGCAAUCGGAAUUGUGAGGUAUGCAUCCUGGAGGUCCAAUUUUACCAUCCAGUCUCCCAGUCUUAGUAGGUCUCGGAGGCAGUGUAUUCCUUCCAUCUUGAAGUGAUGGUAUGUGACAAAGGCGUUGAGAGGCCGCAAGUUUAUUAC